rnacentral:misc_RNA from 1 species
AACGCAACUUGCGCCCCUUUGGGGCAUGUCUGUUUGAGAACCGCAUCUAUCUAACCCCUUGGGGUUGAAACUGUGCCAAGCUGCGCAAGCGGCUGGUGCGAAAUGCAGCAUGUAGGGGCAGAAAGGCCGAUCGUGUGCUGGAGACUUUGGUCUUGUCACGACGCGGCGCGUAUGCUCUUUUUUGUUUAUUUGAUUUUUUAUACAAGUAUAAUUUUGUACAAGUAUAAUUUAAAAAAUAAUAAAAACACUACAAAAAAUGGUCUCAAAUCAGGCAAGACUACCCGCUGAACUUAA